rfam:Oryza barthii chromosome 1, whole genome shotgun sequence.
CUUAAGCGCAACAUGAGUUCCGUGUCCAACUUUAAUUAUUUGUCUUAUUUAAUUUUUUUUAUAAUUAGUAUUUUUAUUGUUAUUAGAUUAUAAAACAUUAAUAGUGACUCAUAUUUUUUAGUUUUCUCAAAAAAAAAUUAAAUAAAACGAAUAAUCAAAGUUGGACACAAAAAUUUAUGACUGCGCUUAUU